rnacentral:misc_RNA from 1 species
AACGCAAAUUGCGCCUUCUUUCGGAAGGCAUGUCUGUUUGAGGGCACCAUUUAACAAAUAAUGUGCGCGUCGUUUUUACGAGCGACGUGCGCACGUUGAUGAGCUUUUCCGAAAAAACCAGGUUUUUUUGGUGGCGCAUAAUGAACAGCGUGGGCUUUUUCUUCGAUUCUCGUGUAGUAAAUGUUCAACGCUUGGGUUGAGAAAAAGUGCGUGCCGCGCAAUGGGUGUGGCGAAUUUUACCCCUGCCCCAAUGCCACUCUUUCCCUGCGAAAGAACAAUUUUUAUUCAGGGCCUCAAAUCAGACAAGAGUACCCGCUGAACUUAA